CGCCCGGUAGGCGUGGCCGGGGUCCUCUCCGCCUUGCCGGGUUCUCGGGACCCUACUCCUAGGAGCCGUAGGUCUUCCGCCCUGCAGAAGGAUCCAGCCCACGUGGACUACGAGGAUCUCUUCCUUUACUAUAACACUGUGGCUGAGGGCGCCCACAGCCCCGGUCCCCGGGAAGCUCAGACGCCGUCCCGCCCGCCUGAGGAGGCCUCCGAAAAGAAGGCGCCCGCAGUGGUCCACGGAGAGCCUGCAUCUGCAUCCUGCUCCCCGAAAGCGCCUUUCUGGGAAGCCCGCCGGAAACUGUGGCAGACCCUGAAGACGGUGCCGCGGACUGGCAGGAAGGCUCAGCGGCUGCUCAGCGAUCACCUGGCAGCGACCGUGCAGCCCCGCUGCCCUGUGACCCGAGCGGCCAGCUGGGACAGCCCGCGCCGCCCCGCUGAGCCCCGUGCAGCCCCCUCUUUCCCAACCCCCCCAGAGCCCCAGACUUGGAAAGGCAGAGACGCCGCCUCCAAGAAGGCCGCCAGUGCUACCAGCUGGAGGGACACAGCCUCGGGGCUUAGGGCUUGGCCAGGGAAGAUGAUGAGGGCCCUGUCGGUCCAGGAAACCAAACCCCAGACCCAAGACUUGACAGCCCAGGAUUGGCUACCCGAGGAGUACCUCCCUCCGCCACCAUUCGCCCCUGGGUACUGAUGACGCUCCUACUCCUCUGAGUUUCUAUGCCCCUCUGGGUAUCCGUCCUCCUCCCCUCCCCGGUCCCACACCUGCCCUGGCAAUCCGAGAACUGCACUCAAGAGGUUGGGAGGGGGCGAUUUCUGAAGUUGGGGUCUGCUGGGGAUGCUGGUUUUUAAUAAUAAAAUUACAGCACUGAGGGCCCCCAAGAUGGCUCAGCAAGUAAAGGCUGUCAAAGCUAAUGACCAGAGUUUGAAGUUCGAGUCCCAAGACCCACAUGGUGAAAGGAGAAAACACUCCUUCAAAUUGUCCUCUGACCUCCACACAAAUAAUUAAUAAAUAAAAAAUAAUUAAAUGUAAUUUUAGAAAUCACAGCAGUGAUUUGGUAUACCAAGCACAUGUCAAGCCUGUGCCUCACCUUCUAUAAUCUCUGUAUCCACCGGCCGUAUCUGAUUCAGCCACACACAAAAAUAUUUUUCUGAAACGUGACAUCCUGGAUUGGGGAAAUGGCUCAGUAGGUAAAGUGCUUGCCCUGAAAGCAAAAGGAUCUGAGUUCAAAUUCCCAGAAGGUGGGAAGUAGGUGGUUUGCCUCCCCUAUGCAGCAGUGGCUCACAGAAAUAGACCUCAGGACUGGAGAGAUGGCUCAGCAGUUAAGAGCACCUGCUGCUCUUGCAGAGGGCCUGGGUUUGGUUCCCAGCACCAUGUCUAUAACUCUAGCUCCAGAGGAUGCCUCUGGCCUCCAAAGGCAAUUGCAUUCCUGUGCACACAGCCCCUUCCACAUAUGCAUAAUUUUAAAGACU
rnacentral:lncRNA from 1 species